AACACAUGCAAGUCGGACGCCCCGCAAGGGGAGUGGCAGACGGGUGAGUAACGCGUGGGAAUCUACCCAGUUCUACGGAACAACUGAGGGAAACUUCAGCUAAUACCGUAUACGCCCGAUAGGGGAAAGAUUUAUCGGAAUUGGAUGAGCCCGCGUUGGAUUAGCUAGUUGGUGGGGUAAUGGCCUACCAAGGCGACGAUCCAUAGCUGGUCUGAGAGGAUGAUCAGCCACACUGGGACUGAGACACGGCCCAGACUCCUACGGGAGGCAGCAGUGGGGAAUAUUGGACAAUGGGCGCAAGCCUGAUCCAGCCAUGCCGCGUGAGUGAUGAAGGCCUUAGGGUUGUAAAGCUCUUUCAGUAGGGACGAUAAUGACGGUACCUACAGAAGAAG
rnacentral:rRNA from 1 species